AAUUAAGCAUAUCAAUAAGCGGAGGAAAAGAAACCAACAGGGAUUGCCUCAGUAACGGCGAGUGAAGCGGCAACAGCUCAAAUUUGAAAUCUGGCCUCUGUCGGGGUCCGAGUUGUAAUUUGCAGAGGAUGUUUCGGGUUCGGCUGCGGUCUAAGUUCCUUGGAACAGGACGUCAUGGAGGGUGAGAAUCCCGUGUGGGACCGCCGGCCACGCCCAUGUGAAACGCCUUCGACGAGUCGAGUUGUUUGGGAAUGCAGCUCAAAACGGGUGGUAAAUUUCAUCUAAAGCUAAAUACCGGCCAGAGACCGAUAGCGCACAAGUAGAGUGAUCGAAAGAUGAAAAGCACUUUGGAAAGAGAGUUAAAAAGCAUGUGAAAUUGUUGAAAGGGAAGCGCUUGCAACCAGACUUGGCCCCGGGUGCUCAGGCGGCGUUUUCGCCGGUGCACUCGCCCGGGAACAGGCCAGCAUCGGUUCAGGCGGCCGGACAAAGGCCCCCGGAACGUAGCUUCCUUCGGGGAGUGUUAUAGCCGGGGGUGCAAUGCGGCCCGCCCGGACCGAGGAUCGCGCUCGGCACGAUGCG
rnacentral:rRNA from 1 species